rnacentral:piRNA from 1 species
UGAGAAGACCAGAGUACUUUAAAUGCAGCA